CCAAAUCCUGGCACAACUUCACCUGUAACGAGGUGAUCCAGGACUUCCAGGCCUCGGUGCUGCAGGUCUCGGACUCGCCCUACGACGAGCAGGUGGCCGCCCAGAUGCCGACGGUUCACUACGAGAUGCCCAACGGGUACAACACCGACUACGGGGCCGAGCGGCUCCGCAUCCCCGAGGGGCUCUUCGACCCCUCCAACGUCAAGGUUCGGGGGGCCCCGG